rnacentral:rRNA from 1 species
UACGGAGGAUGCGAGCGUUAUCCGGAUUUAUUGGGUUUAAAGGGUGCGUAGGCGGACUGUCAAGUCAGCGGUAAAAUUGAGAGGCUCAACCUCUUCCCGCCGUUGAAACUGGUGGUCUUGAGUGGAUGAGAAGUACGCGGAAUGCGUGGUGUAGCGGUGGAAUGCAUAGAUAUCACGCAGAACUCCGAUUGCGAAGGCAGCGUACCGGCAUCCAACUGACGCUGAGGCACGAAAGCGUGGGGAUCAAACAGG